rnacentral:rRNA from 1 species
CAACAGGGAUUGCCCUAGUAACGGCGAGUGAAGCGGCAACAGCUCAAAUUUGAAAUCUGGCCCUCGGGUCCGAGUUGUAAUUUGUAGAGGAUGCUUUUGGCGCGGUGCCUUCCGAGUUCCCUGGAACGGGACGCCUUAGAGGGUGAGAGCCCCGUACGGUUGGACACCAAGCCUCUGUAAAGCUCCUUCGACGAGUCGAGUAGUUUGGGAAUGCUGCUCUAAAUGGGAGGUAAAUUUCUUCUACAGCUAAAUAUUGGCCAGAGACCGAUAGCGCACAAGUAGAGUGAUCGAAAGAUGAAAAGCACUUUGAAAAGAGGGUUAAAUAGCACGUGAAAUUGUUGAAAGGGAAGCGUUUGCGACCAGACCUUUUCCUAGCGGAUCAACCGGUGUUCUCACCGGUGCACUUCGCUAGGUUUAGGCCAGCAUCGGUUUCUGUAGGGGGAUAAAAGCUCUGGGAACGUAGCUCCUCCGGGAGUGUUAUAGCCCUCUGCAUAAUACCCUUACGGGGACCGAGGACCGCGCUUCGGCAAGGAUGCUGGCGUAAUGGUCGUCAACGA